UAAAGAUUCAUCGCUGAUAGAUAGGCAUGCGUUCCAUUAGGCAGUUGGCGGGGUAACGGCCCACCAAACCGACGAUGGAUAGGGGUUCUGAGAGGAAGGUCCCCCACAUUGGUACUGAGACACGGACCAAACUCCUACGGGAGGCAGCAGUGAGGAAUAUUGGUCAAUGGGCGUAAGCCUGAACCAGCCAAGUCGCGUGAGGGAUGAAGGUUCUAUGGAUCGUAAACCUCUUUUAUAAGGGAAUAAAGUGUGGGACGUGUCCUAUUUUGUAUGUACCUUAUGAAUAAGGACCGGCUAACUCCGUGCCAGCAGCCGCGGUAAUACGGAGGAUCCGAGCGUUAUCCGGAUUUAUUGGGUUUAAAGGGUGCGUAGGCGGCCUUUUAAGUCAGCGGUGAAAGUCUGUGGCUCAACCAUAGAAUUGCCGUUGAAACUGGGGGGCUUGAGUAUGUUUGAGGCAGGCGGAAUGCGUGGUGUAGCGGUGAAAUGCUUAGAUAUCACGCAGAACCCCGAUUGCGAAGGCAGCCUGCCAAGCCAUGACUGACGCUGAUGCACGAAAGCGUGGGGAUCAAACAGGAUUAGAUACCCUGGUAGUCCACGCAGUAAACGAUGAUCACUAGCUGUUUGCGAUACAGUGUAA
rnacentral:rRNA from 1 species